UCCCUUGUAGUUCAGUUGGUAAAGAACCUGCUUGCAAUGCAGGAGACCCAGGUUCGAUUCCUGGAUUGGAAA
rnacentral:tRNA from 1 species